GAAAAUAUUUAAGUAAACUGAUAAAGGAAACCUCCAUCAGUGACUGUUAACCCUCUGGUUCUGUUACAGCUGUGUUUCAGGCUUGCAAAAGCUCCCUCUUGCUGUAGUUGAGAUAAAUCCAAUGAGCUCUGCUAGGAUCUCUUCAGUUGAAUAGCGGACACAUACAUGAGAUCACCCUCAUCCAAAUAAUGAUGUCAAACGCAUUUUCUGUUUGUUAAAUAGGUGAUAAACCAUAGAGUCCAUUCCCAAGCGUACAAGCAGCACAAAAAAAUUUACUAUUUAUGCCACACCCGUACCCCAUUGCUAUACAUACACCGUUCCUGCAAGCAUUUUUGACAUCAAAGAUCUAAUGGAUAAGUCAGACCCUUAUAUCAUAAAGACAGACCUACAGUGGUCCAGACGCAGGUUUGACUGGGGAAAUCAUGUUACUGAAAGCUGGAGAAGCAUGGAAAUGCUAGGGAAGUUUAGCAGCGGGAAGUCUCUCCUGAGGGUCUUCCAUGAGCAGCCGCUUGUAUGGGCCACGCUGUGUCAGUGCACACCAGGAGCCUCUUCCCUCCCACCUGCUGCCGCUGUUCUUGCACAAGCACUGUCAGAUGCUUUAUUAGUCGUCAGAGUGUUGCUCAAAAUCACCUGAGCACAGUGCUUUCUAGCCCUUUUGCAAAACUGGUCUGUGCCUGAGUAUGGAUAAAUUGGUUUUAUGUUGACAGUGCCAUUUUUGUUCUUUAUGAGAAUUGUAACUGUGGCAACCCAGAAGUGACUUAAGGGACUCUAAGUCGGUCUCUGUACCUUCAAAUUAAACACACUGGGACAUGAUCACUGUAACAGAUGAGAUUACACUACUGGGUUUGGGGUUUUAUUUUUAUUCGUGGAUAGCAUUAAAAGAACCUAAUACAUGCUUUAAAUGAUUUUAAAUAAAGCUAUAUAAAAACCCAACAUUGACUAGAGCCUCUCUAAUAAAUCAUUAAGAAAGGGAGGGAAGGGGUAGAAGGGAAUUGUGAAUGCCAGGUACCAACCCAUACAACUUCUGUGUGACUGCUAAGUUCAGCACACCAGGGAGUAAUGCCAGAUUGUUUACUAGAAGUCAUGAGUUGUUUAUUGCCAAUUGAGCACGGUUUUGCUUCAGUAAAUGGGAGUAAUGUAAUAAGAAGAAGCCAGCUAUUAUGAAAAGUUUUUACAGUUUUAAGUCGGAGCUGAAAACCAAAAACUCUGCAUUUUUCACCUUGUGACAAGGACCAUCAGCCCCGAAAGACCACUACAAUUACAGUGUUAGCUGUGCAAAACCAUUCCUAUCACAGGGAAGUGGCAAUGCAAGAAAACAUGACAGGAAAUUGUGAAUUGAACUCCUGCUGCUAUUCUGUUGGGAAACAGAUCAAAGACUUUUAUGAAAGAAAGGGAAUAUUUCCUGAAUGGUUCAAGUGCAUAGCAACAUGAUGUAAUUCAUAACCUGACUGUGGUAUUUCAGCAUGGAGGCAGUGUUUCACUGCCAUGCAGUGCCAGCCCUGUAACGCUGAAGAUGUGCCAGACUUGGAAACAAAAGGGACCUUGUUCUGCUUCAACCUCAGCCUUGUCCAGCAUCGUGCACUGACAUUUGGAGGUCUUUCAAGAAUGUGUGUCACAGGCCCUGCUAGAGCAGAUACCAAAAUAGCGUAAUUACUACACAGCAUGUUUAGAAAGUUACUACUGAAUAAUGAAAGGACAUCUGAAGACAUCUCUAUCCAAAGACAUAUGUGAAAUGCAUAUUCUGGUGGGUUUCUCCACUACUAAAUUUAUCUGAAGAAUAUAAUAGAAGAAGUAGCAGAAGAUUAAAUUUGCUUUAGGGGGAGUACCAAAGAAGGAGAAAAAGUUAAGCAGUAUCUAGUAGACAAGACAUGCUUGUUACGCUGUUUUAAACAGCUCCUCUGCUACACUAAGACUGACCAUACCUCCUCUUCUAUGUCACUCCAGAAGCUACAAUCAGCAUCUCUUAAGUGGGUCACAGGGGGCUGGAGACUCUCUUUGCUGAACUGCAGCCGUGGGACUCCAGCUCCAGGGCCAACAUGUUACCUGCUGCAGAAGUUUAUCCAGAAAUGGCUAAGAUAGGUCCAAUGGUCUGACAGUUUUGCUGCAGUCUGGGAAGUAUGUUAACGGCAGAGCUGCUGAACCAAACUGUUUUGCCAACCUUCCCUCAAGAACCUGUUUGCCCACAUCUGAAGCGUCCAGCCCUUCAAAUAACCCUAACGUAACGACAUGGGGAUGAAGAGGAGGGCACACUGAGGCACAUGGAGAAGGCUGUACAGUAUCAGAGGAAGACAGACUGAUGGAAAGCACAGAAGGAGUUCCCCAUUGUUGGAAGAUGUUGGAAGAAACAAGACCAUUGGUUGCCCUGCGCUGCUCUGAUGGGCCACGCUUUACUAAUUUUGCAUUUCAGUUGCAAACAUCAAGUUGUGCAUUACAGGUGAAUAAUGGAAGGGGAGGCUUUAAUAUUGCAGUAUUUCUUACAGGUAAGUGUGUAAGGCUUUCAGCUUUUCAGGUUUUAAGUCUCACUUAGUUUUCCAACACCUGCAUUUUAUACUGAUUACAUUACAUCUUGCAUGGGUAUUAAAAGCUCUUACCUUGGCACUUAUGACAUUCUUCUGAGAUUCCCUUUGCAUGUCAUGUAAGCAGGAUCAGACCACAGAUAUUUGUAGUACUUUAAGGAAGCCAAGAUGAGCGAGAUGUCUUAUAUGGCAUUUCUGGUAUUAGCAAAAACAUAUAAGCAAAACACAUCCGGGAAAGUCAUCUCCUAUAUUUGGAAGGUGAAACUGAAUAAAAAGAACAAGGGAAGUAUGAUUUGAGGAAGCAAAUAAGAUGGAGCCAGACUCUACUCAGCGUUAUCAGAAUGGACAAGAAGAAAGGGGCACGGUCUGAAAAACAGGAAAUUCCAUUUGAACAUAAGACAAUGCAAGAGGAGGAGGAGAAGGAGAAAAAUCCCGCAAUGUUUUUCACUCUGAGGGUGAUCAUGCACUAGAACAGGUUGCCCAGAGACGCUGUAGAGUCUCCACCCUUUGGAGAUACCUAAAAUCCAACUGGACAUGGUCCUGAGCAACCUGCUGUAGCUGACCCAGUUUUGAGCAAGGAGUUGGACUACGUGAUCUCUGGGUCCCUGACAGCCUCAACUAUUCUGUGAUUCUGAAUUUGACAAGAAGUCAUGGGCCAAUGCCAUAACAAGGACUGGUUUUCUUUAGAAAAAAAAAGAGCUCUUAUCAAGGAAAAGUGAACUAUGAGUGAUACCCAGUCUUCAAAUAGUAUUUGUUUACAACAUAAACACUGACUGGAAAUAUAAAUCAAUGGAGCAGAUUAGCUCCAUACUGCUACUCCUAGUCCUGCAUUUUGGUUUUCUACUAUAUCAGUUUUUCUUCCAGUAACUUCCCUGAGAGUGU